rnacentral:misc_RNA from 1 species
GAAAUGCGAUAAGUAAUGCGAAUUGCAGAAUUUCCGUGAGUCAUCGAAUCUUUGAACGCACAUUGCGCCCGCCAGUAUUCUGGCGGGCAUGCCUGUUCGAGCGUCAUUUCAACCAUCAAGCCCCGCGCUUGUGUUGGGGACCUGCGGCUGCCGCAGGCCCUGAAAACCAGUGGCGGGCUUGCUGUCACACCGGGCGUAGUAGAUUUUAUCUCGCUCAGGGCGUGCUGCGGGUUCCGGCCGUUAAAAAGCCUUUUUUACCCAAGGUUGACCUCGGAUCAGGUAGGAAGACCCGCUGAACUUAAGC